rnacentral:sRNA from 1 species
GCUGGGUAUGGUGAUGCACACCUGUAAUCCCAGUGGCUUGGGAGGCUGAAGCUGGAGAAUCACAGAUUUGAGGCUAGCCUCAGCAACUUUGCGAGACCCUGUCUCAA